rnacentral:rRNA from 1 species
UACGAAAGGUGCGAGCGUUAAUCGGAAUUACUGGGCGUAAAGGGCGCGUAGGCGGCGCGUUAAGUCGGAUGUGAAAGCCCCGGGCUCAACCUGGGAAUGGCAUCCGAUACUGGCGUGCUCGAGUGCAGUAGAGGGAGGUGGAAUUCCAGGUGUAGCGGUGAAAUGCGUAGAGAUCUGGAGGAACACCAGUGGCGAAGGCGGCCUCCUGGACUGACACUGACGCUGAGGCGCGAAAGCGUGGGUAGCAAACAGG